UUAUACGGUUAUAUUUUAUCUACCACCUUACAUUACCUUUAUCCUAAAUUAAAGAAGGGGAGCUUCGCUGAACUUUUCGCCGUCAAACGUAUCUUUAUUUUUGCACAGUGAUGAUUUCUAUACAAACUCAGCAUUUUACCUUUCACCGAAUUCUUCUGCUCGCGGUUGGAUUAUGGCCUUAUCAGCAAUCAAGGCUCGUUCAAUUUCAGUUAGUCUUGUUUUUUAGUAUUCUAAUUAGCUUUAUCAUAUUCGAGCUUACAGUAUUUAUAUCUGCAGAAUGCACUCCUGAUUUUGUUAUCAAAGUUCUUUCUGUCGUAUUAUUGCCUAUUAUAUAUGCAAUUGAAUAUAAUUCGUUCCGAAUUAACGUUCGAGCUGUGCAAUAUUUAUUGGAGCAACUUCAACAUGUAUAUAAUCAAUUAAAAGAUGAA
rnacentral:lncRNA from 1 species